UUGAAAUGAUUACAAACAUAUUUCAAAUACAUCUCAAUUCAAUCUUAAUUUAAUCUUAGUUGAAAUCUUACAUCAUUCAAAUUUUAGGCCAAAAACUAACUAAAUCUUAAAUCUUAAACAAACUCAAAUAAAACCCUAAAUCCUAAAUAAAAUCCUAAUCAAAUCCUAACCAAACCCUAAAUCCUAAACCAAAUCCUAAUCUUAAAUCAAAUCCUAACUAAAUCCUAAACCUUAAACCAAAUCCUAAUCCUAAAUCAAAUUCUAACCCUAAAUCAAAUCCUAACCAAAUCUUAAUCCUAAAUCAAAUCCUAAAAAAAUCCUAAUUCUAAUCCAAAAUCCUAAAAUAAAUCCUAACCAAAUCCUAACCCUAAAUCAAAUCCUAACCAAAUCCUAAUAAUUUCUACAAUAGAAUUAAAUCUCAAUAAUUAAUGAAUGAACCAUUUUUCUUAACUCAAAUUGUUCGCACUUCUUAAAAACUAAGUAAAAAAAAAGCACAAAAUUUUUGAAAAGGAUCGGAACUACCAAAUAAACGAUAACCUAAAACC
rnacentral:lncRNA from 1 species